rfam:Dipodomys ordii contig_23973, whole genome shotgun sequence.
GGAUGUGAAGGUGAUCUCACUGUGACAUCAGUCACCCUAUUGGUUGCCAGGGUUGAUUCAGCCACUGGCUCAGUGGGAGUCUCUUCCCUCACUAUGCUAUGUGAAUCCCUUCUGAAGCUGAGCCACACCAGCGAAAGAGGAGUUUCUCUACCAACAGAGAAAUAUGAAUAUUAUGAUCCUCUGCUAGAACCACCAAAUAAGCUCUCACAAGGAACAGGUGUCUCAUAGAAACAUUAGACAGUGAAGAUAGACGAAAAAGUACAUAUCAUCCAAACAAUUAUUAAAUGAAUAUUGAUAUAUUCUCAUUUUCUCU